rnacentral:rRNA from 1 species
UACGUAGGGGGCAAGCGUUGUCCGGAUUUAUUGGGCGUAAAGAGCGUGUAGGCGGCCUGACAGGUCUGCUGUGAAAACUCGAGGCUCAACCUCGAGAUGUCGGCGGAAACCGUCUGGCUAGAGUCCGGAAGAGGAGAGUGGAAUUCCUGGUGUAGCGGUGAAAUGCGCAGAUAUCAGGAGGAACACCGGUGGCGAAGGCGGUUCUCUGGGCCUUACCUGACGCUGAGGAGCGAAAGCGUGGGGAGCGAACAGG